GACGAACGCUGGCGGCGUGCUUAACACAUGCAAGUCGAACGGUGAAGCGCCUUCCUUUUUGGUGGGUGUGGAUGAGUGGCGAACGGGUGAGUAACACGUGAGUAACCUGCCCCCUUCUUCUGGAUAACCGCAUGAAAGUGUGGCUAAUACGGGAUAUUCUGGGUCUGUCGCAUGAUGGGUCUGGGAAAGCUAUUGUUUCGGUGGGGGAUGGGCUCGCGGCCUAUCAGCGUGGUGGGGGGGUGAUGGCCUACCAAGGCGGUGACGGGUUGCCGGGCUGAGAGGGUGGGCGGUCACACUGGGACUACAACACGGAGCAUCCUCCGGGGGGAGGCAGCGGGGGGUAUUAUUGCACAGGGGGCGGAAGGCUGAUGCAGCGACGCCGCGGGGGGGAUGGAGUCCUUCUGGUUGUGAACCUCUUUCGCCAGUGAAGCAGGCCUGCCUCGUUUGUGGGUGGGUUGACGGUAGCUGGAUAAGAAGCGCCGGCUAACUACGUG
rnacentral:rRNA from 1 species